AAAUUUACUACUUGUCAGGCACUGGCCAAGACACUGAGGGUACGGAGCUUGUUACACAGAUCCACGCGUGGGUUAUCGACAUUCUCUUCUACCGUUCCCGGGCUUUGCUCUGGAGAAGAGAGGCCUCUGCUGAGAUCCAGUGGUAUCUGACCAGUGUGUGGUGGUGGAGACGCAGCGGGACUCUGGGUGGUGGUGGUGGGACUGCUGGAAGUUGUCAGGUCCAAUGCUCCUAUCUUUGAGUUCAAGGGAGAAGUCAAAGACAGCUUUCUGGCCCUCACUGGGGAAGAUGUUCUGGACACAGCCAGUGGUGGCGGGGAAGAGAAUUUGCGACACAGACGUGGGGAUUUGCCAUCCACCAAAUGUUCACCUCUGUUGUUCUGGCUGGUAGCAAAAAACAAUUCCAAUGACCUAAAAAUGAGAGUAAAAGUGGCUAAGAGAUUGUAGCCAAGUGAAAUGAAUUCCCAGAUGUCAUUCAAGAACAUGAUCCCUUCAUUUAUAGGUCACAAUCUCAUUGCACUUCUAUUGCUGGACUUCCCUUAAUCUAAAUGCUACAUGUAUACCCUCCACCUGCCAAAGAAGCACAGACACCUAACUAGGCAUCGUCUAAUCCCUUGCUACUAAACUGUGGUCCAAACAGCAGCAUUGAGAUCUCUGGGGAGCUUGUUAGACAUUCAGAACUCAGGCUCCACACCAGGCCUGCUGAAUCAGAGCCAGCAAUUUAACAAGACACCCUCCCCACG
rnacentral:lncRNA from 1 species